rnacentral:tRNA from 1 species
GCGGCUAUGGUGUAGCGGUAACAUACCUGCUUCCCAAGCAGUUGUCACGGGUUCGAGUCCCGUUAGCCGCU